rnacentral:rRNA from 1 species
AUUGAACGCUGGCGGCAGGCCUAACACAUGCAAGUCGAACGGUAACAGGAAGAAGCUUGCUUCUUUGCUGACGAGUGGCGGACGGGUGAGCAAUGUCUGUGAAACUGCCUGAUGGAGGGGGAUAACUACUGGAAACGGUAGCUAAUACCGCAUAACGUCGCAAGACCAAAGGGGGGGACCUUCGGGCCUCUUGCCAUCGGAUGUGCCCAGAUGGGAUUAGCUAGUAGGUGGGGUAACGGCUCACCUAGGCGACGAUCCCUAGCUGGUCUGAGAGGAUGACCAGCCACACUGGAACUGAGACACGGUCCAGACUUCUACGGGAGGCAGCAGUGGGGAAUAUUGCACAAUGGGCGCAAGCCUGAUGCAGCCAUGCCGCGUGUAUGAAGAAGGCCUUCGGGUUGUAAAGUACUUUCAGCGGGGAGGAAGGGAGUAAAGUUAAUACCUUUGCUCAUUGACGUUACCCGCAGAAGAAGCACCGGCUAACUCCGUG